GAUGAACGCUGGCGGCGUGCCUAAUACAUGCAAGUCGAGCGAACGGACGAGAAGCUUGCUUCUCUGAUGUUAGCGGCGGACGGGUGAGUAACACGUGGAUAACCUACCUAUAAGACUGGGAUAACUUCGGGAAACCGGAGCUAAUACCGGAUGAUAUUUUGAACCGCAUGGUUCAAAAGUGAAAGACGGUCUUGCUGUCACUUAUAGAUGGAUCCGCGCUGCAUUAGCUAGUUGGUAAGGUAACGGCUUACCAAGGCAACGAUGCAUAGCCGACCUGAGAGGGUGAUCGGCCACACUGGAACUGAGACACGGUCCAGACUCCCACGGGAGGCAGCAGUAGGGAAUCUUCCGCAAUGGGCGAAAGCCUGACGGAGCAACGCCGCGUGAGUGAUGAAGGUCUUCGGAUCGUAAAACUCUGUUAUUAGGGAAGAACAUAUGUGUAAGUAACUGUGCACAUCUUGACGGUACCUAAUCAGAAAGCCACGGCUAACUACGUG
rnacentral:rRNA from 1 species